GUGUACAGCCAUACCACCCUGAUCAUGCCUCAUUUUGGAAGCCAAGCAGGGUCAGGCCUGGUUAGUACUUGGAUGGGAGAAAUUCUCCUCACAAAAGUGUUGUUCAAU
rnacentral:rRNA from 1 species